AGUCUCCUGAAGGAACGUUGAAGACGACGACGUUGAUAGGCCGGGUGUGUAAGCGCAGCGAUGCGUUGAGCUAACAGGUACUAAUGAACCGUGAGGCUUAACCUUACAACGCCGAAG
rnacentral:rRNA from 1 species